rnacentral:lncRNA from 1 species
CGCCCGCAAUGGACUGCAGAUAUUAAGCAGUGAAGACAGUGAGUUACUCAGCUGAUUUGUUCCGUGGAGAGUCAGGCUACCUGGUCAUCCUACUCAAUAUCCAGGCCUGCCCGAACCUCAAGACUGGGUGGGCACCGUUCAGAGGCCCCCAGCCCCUGCCCUUCUCCUGCGAGGGCCGAGCUCACCGUCAGGUCCCUGGGGCUUGGAACUAAGUAGCCACUUCAUAAACACAUGGAUUUUGGGGUGCCCCGGCCCCCAUAAAGAGAUCAAAUUAUGUCUCCUGCAUUCUGCUGUAAUGAAAUGAAUCAUAAAAUAUGUUUUAGAAGAAAAUUACUAUAAAAAGUUUCAAAAUUGUUAUUUAAAAAGGGACCCCGCCAACACGCAUAUUGACCCAAGGAAUCUUCGGGAUGGACUCUGCUU